rnacentral:rRNA from 1 species
UACGGAGGGUGCAAGCGUUAUCCGGAUUCACUGGGUUUAAAGGGUGCGUAGGCGGGCAGGUAAGUCCGUGGUGAAAUCUCCAAGCUUAACUUGGAAACUGCCGUGGAUACUAUUUGUCUUGAAUUUAGUGGAGGUGAGCGGAAUAUGUCAUGUAGCGGUGAAAUGCUUAGAUAUGACAUAGAACACCCAUUGCGAAGGCAGCUCGCUACACUAAUAUUGACGCUGAGGCACGAAAGCGUGGGGAUCAAACAGG